UAAAGGAUGCACAUUGUGAGGAGAAGGUACGCAGGAGAAAGCUAAUAAUUUUACCAGAUAGUGACUUGGACACUCCGAUGGAAAACAUUGAGAAAA